rnacentral:snRNA from 1 species
GGAUGUGAGGGCAAUCUGGCUGAGACUUCUGUCACCCCUUGGUCACCAGGGUUUAUUUGGCUGAUCUGGCUGGCUAGGCGAGUGACCCCUUCCUCCCUCACCAUGCCAUGUGCAUCCCUUCCAAAGCUGUGGCCUUGGUGGAAGAAAACAACCAUCCCCCAUAGAGGAGGACUGGUUUUCGUUCAAAGGUAUAUAAGUAGCUUCACUACCCUACUAGAACCUCCAAACAAGCUCUCAAAAAUUCAUGCUUAACUUGAUUUUCUACCAUCAACCUCAUCCUUUUCUAAA